CUGCUGUGCAUCUUCUUAUAUAUUUUAUUUUACUCGCAUCUAUCUCAGGGCAGAUAUUCAUAUCCCGCCGAGCAUUGGCAUCGCUGAUCAACAGGAUCCCCCUACCAUCCACCGUGUCGUGUGACAGCAAACCAUCACCAUACUCCACUCGCUCCGCUCGUUGUCUUGCCUCUCCCUCAUCACGCGCCAUUACCUUCACACGCAAACGCAUACGCACACACCCACCAAAGUGAAUUCUUGCUUUUCUUAUUCUUCUUAUUGUGCGUUAGUGAUACGUGGCGAGGAUUCCCCCACCCUCCGUCAUGAGCUCGUCAUCUGUUACCCCCGAGCAAGUGCUGGCUUUUACCGCCCCCACGGAGCGGUUUCUGUGCCCACUCACGGCGAACAAGUACGGCGUCGAGUUUUACCAGUUCACCAUCCGUGAUAUCGAGCAAAACAAGGUACUGUUCGAGGUCGGCGAGGCCCCGGAUGGCUCCGCGGAUGGGAACGUUAAUGACAUGUUGGCCCGCGUGGCGCAGCUGUCUGAGGAGGAAGCCGCGGCUGCCCGCACCAUCCGCUACCGCUUUGCCCCUUCGUUUCUGCGCAAGUCCGCCGUCGGUGCGAAGCUCGUCUUUGGCGUCAACGGCGAUCAGCCAGUGCCCAAGUUCCGCAUGAUUGAGCGUCACUACUUCCGAAAUGUGCUGAUCAAGUCCUUCGACUUCGAGUUCGGCUUCUGCAUUCCGCACUCGACGAACACAUGGGAGGCCAUCUACGACAUGCCCAGCCUGAACCCGGAGUGGGAGGAGGCCAUCGUCGCCAGCCCCUUCGAGAUGGCGAGCGACAGCUUCUACUUCGUAGGCAACGAGCUCAUCAUGCACAACAAAGCAUACUACGCGUACGACGGCGAGGAGCCGUAAGCUCGCUUGUGUUGGUGGACGUGGCCGACGGAGUGGCGCAUGUGACGAGGUGCGGUCGAGCAGCGCAGAGCACAGUGCCCAGAAGGCGAUUCGCUCCUUCUCCGUCCUGUUCGUCCUGUCGGUCACCGGUGCGCCGCCGCUGUCUGGGCCACUGUAGGCGCGAUCUUUCUCUUCCGCACUCUCUGAGAAGAUCCCCAUUCCAUUCUCUUGUUUUUUUUUCGUUCUCUAUGUGAUGUUUGCGCAAUGAACAAGGCGAUGGUUUUGAGGGGACUGAAAUCAUUCGCUUUACUAGCAGUGGCAGCACGGAGUGCUGAUGGCGUGCGGCCUGCUGCUGCGCUAGCAAUGUGGUGCCCCUCCACCCUCGCCUGCUUUUUGCUUUGAGAGCGGCCGUCUCGGCGUUGUGCCCGAUAUGCCACGCGAGACUCGCGGAUCUCUCGAAGAAAACCUCAUUUCACGAUAUGACCUUGCACGCAGUGACGUGAUUACGCACACCUCACUCGCGCUGCAUGGGCUUCCUCCUCCCCCGUCGGGUCUUUGUGGCUGCCCCCUGUGCCCCUUCAGAACGACAAGCUGUGAGCUCAUUGUGCGCAGGCACAUGUCUAUCCACGGGCCGCCUUCCUCUCGGCCCACCUACUCCUGUGAGCGGCGAGUGUAUUGAGAGGGUGUAGUGCCCCAUACCCCUGCAGACUCAUGCCAGCAUUCUACCUGUCGCGACACAUGCAGGCAGGCUUACCCCCCUCCACCAGACAACAAGGUCGUCUCGGAGCAGGCCCCAUGAUCCGAAAAUGUGUGCACUGUGCGCCAGCGCUGUCAAGCAUGGUCGGCGUGGUGUAUCGCACCCAGGCGGAGGAGCAUCCAGAUGUCGGAAGGGCAAGAGUGGCUCACGAAAGCAACGCGGGAGCGAUCAAUACCGAUGAGCCCCAAGGUGCGUGUGUGCAAAACAUGCGGCAUCUCCUGUAUCCGACAGGAUGGGGCUGAUGAGGCAAAGAUAUCGGCUGCAUGACGUGAGCACCCCGAACCUGCACCAUCGAGCCCACCAGACUCGAAUGUGGAGAGCUUGCACACCAUGCUGUGGAAUGCCGCUACUUGAAGCUGCUCAGAGCGAACCAUGUCAUGCAGGCAGCGGCGCACACGGUCGCAGAGAGCCGUGGCCUGAGGCUGGCCAACCUCCUCCUUGAGCCCAUCCGGCAUGCACGUAGACCAGCCCCUACUAGCAGCACGACGUACGCCCCCGCCUCCGCCCUCGAGCAGGACGCUGCACGCGGCCCAGGUGGGCUAAGGCGUGCAGCGCAGCCAGGCCCGUGUGGGGCCGAUUGCGCUGCAGGUAUGCGAAGAAGGGAGGGGGAAAGACAGGAAGAGUCCGCUGGACGCAUGGGCCCGAUUCGACGGCCGGAUGGCUCUUCCUAGACGCCGAGGAUGUAGCUCGCAGUGCGGCAGAGGCUGGCGGGCUGUGGCUGUGCAUGCGUGUGCUUGCGGACUUGCUCGUGGGUGGAAUAGGGGUACGUUGAAAAGAGAAACCCAGGUGCGCUGUUCAAGAAGGUCGCGAGGGGCGAGAGGGAAGGUGAAGGUGAGGGUGCUUGAUGGACGGUUUGAAGGGGGAGAGAGAACCAAAAGGUGGUGAGAUGCUGUGAGCAGUGGUGUGCUGUUCCACACCAAAACCACAAAAAAAAACGAACUGUGGAAACGAAAAGAAAACUGGCGCUGCGCGACACUCGCUGUUUUCGUCUUUGCCCCCUUCUCCGUGGUGUUUGCUCCCCCUUUCCUUUCCUUGCGCUUUACGUGCAUACUCUGCUAUGUGCGUGUGCGAGUAAGUCUCAUUCCCUUUUCUUUUCCUCACCCUCGUCGUCGUUAUGUGUGUCGCGUCUAUCCCUCUCGGGUGUCUGUGCAUGAUGUCACCUGAGGAGGGCGGCUCUUUCUGCCCUUUUUUUUGUCUUCUUUACGCCGUUGCGCUUCUCAUAUAUGUAUACAUGUGUGUGUGUGUGCAUGUGCAUGCUUGUGUAUGUGUAUAUAUGUGUAUGUGCGCGUGUUGGCGUAUGAUAGGAACGCUUUUUUAUGAGCAGCCACGGGAUUCAAAAGGAAAAUGAUGAACAGCAACAGCAAAUAAAGUAUGCACCACAGGAAAGAAAUCCGAGUGCGUGAAGAACACGGAAGCCAGAUGAAAGCGGUGCUCUCGAGCGCGCACACAGACACAGAGACACCGACAGCAGCGACUGCAGGUUGGCGUGGAAUGAUGUAGCCGCUUAUUCAUGGAAGAGGGACAAAGGGCGCCGGGUCAGGAAUACGACGACGCGCGACCUGCGCAGAUACAGCUGCCUUUGCGUGUGUGUCUGUGUGUGUUGGUGUGCAAAAACCUUCUCUCGCCUUCGUAGUUUGUGAGCGG
rnacentral:misc_RNA from 1 species